GAUGUUCAGGGAGAUAUCAUAGCAGACUUGCUUCAUUUAUUGGGGUAAAGAAUGACAAAUCUUUAUUGUAAUUUCUACUUUCAAUGUCUUUAUGAUAUGAUCAGCAAUUUUUCUUGUAAUUUGAUUCUCUUGUGCCCUAUAACAGGAAUUUUUCCCAAUGGAAUCUGAACAAGAUUGAUAUGUCAGAUGGUAAAUUCAAAGAAAAGAAAAAAGAAAUGACUCUGAGAACAGCUGCUUCUUCUGGCUUCAUCUUCUCUCUGUUGUGGUUGUGCCAUUGAUGUUAGAGUGUUUCUUGUCUUUUCUUAUGUGGGAAACUGUGCUUUCCCUCAUUUCUCUAGUUCCUUUCAUUAACUAGGCCUCUUGUUCUCUUUCCCAUCUAGUUUCAGUUUCUCAGGUUGCAGGGUAGAUUUAUCUUUAU
rnacentral:misc_RNA from 1 species